GGGGGGAGAGGGGCCGGCCCACGGCGCCCCGGGGGGGGCAGCGGCAUGUGGUGGCGCCAUGCACUGGAGGUGGAGGGCGCGUACAUGGAAUUCUAGUGCAGGAAUGGCACCAUUGCAGCGAGCCCGCUCUGGAAGAUGUCAUUAACUGAGUGAACACUGCAAGACUGCACCAGGUACAGCACAUCUGCUGAAGGCACACCUUACUUCACGCUCCUACCAAGCAAUCCAGCCAAAGAUGUCAUGUUUGCGAAUCACAAGUCUAUUUCUUACAGAAGUCCUCUAUGCCUCCAACCAGAGGCUGGUCAGCCCCGAGCUUGCUUUUGGAUAUGACAUUUCUACUUCAGCAACACUCAGCAGAAAGCAAGCUACAGUUGCAUAGUGGAAAAUAUUUUAUGGCUGCUACUGGGAAAGACUGUGCUAACCAAAAGAAAUGAACUGACCAUUCAACGCCACCCCAAACUGAGACUUAAAACCUCCUACAUUUUGCUAUUAAAUCCAAUCUACAUUUUUAUGACAACAGUCCUGAAUUACUUAGUAUUUUUCAUACAGCUUUCUUGUUCAUUACACCAGAAGGCAGAGUUCAAUUUUAGAACACGGUCGUUGUUAAGAAAUUCUUAACAACAGUAUAAACCCCCCACCACUACCUCCUAAGUACAACCUGAAAGCUUUGUAGCAAGUUUUAGAAACCCAUAACUCAGAAUCUGAUGUAACACCUACUUACUGCUAACUGAGCUCUAAAUAAAGAGAGGCUCCCAAAGUUA